rnacentral:misc_RNA from 1 species
CCGAACCGUCGACACGAGUUGUUGCUGGCUCUCUAGGGGGCACGUGCACGCUCUGUCUACACAUCCAUUCACACCUGUGCACAAUCUGUAGUUCUGUGGCAUGGGGGACUCCCACCUGCCAUUGUUCUACGUCCUUACACACACACUGUAAUAAAGUCCCAGGAAAUGUGUUCCACGUUCAACGUGAUACAGUA